CAUCCCACUACUACUUAGCAUAUUACUAAUGAGAAUUUAUUGCAACAUAUUAUCAUCCUUAAAUAAUAAAGUUUGAGUAGGAAUAAAAGAAACUAGAGAUACAUUUUACAGAUAUAUUUCACUAGUAGUAUAGUUAAGGAAAAAUGCUAAUUAUGAUUUUGACAUUUGGGUCCUGUAUAGCAUUUGCAGCUCAAUUUAUAUAUGCAGAGUACAAAAUUUCUUGGCUUUUUCUUUAUUAAACACUGUGUUUUCCCUCAAUAAUUUUUGGAGUUAGAAAUGAUACCCAAAUAAUUAUGUUUUUACUUAUUUCAUAUGAUUGAUGAACUGAAAAGAUAUGCAUAACUUAAACUAGUCAUUUAGAUAUAGUAAUUUUUAAAAAUACACAUUUCUGUUUCAUGUUAUGUAUAAUUUAGGAUUACAAUUAAUUUUAUUAUACAUAGCUAGAUGUUACAUUAUGCUUUGCUAUUCAAGAUUUUAAAGUACUGAUAGAUUUAUUUUAGAAUUCAAAGAGAUUGUUAAACCUUCUACUUUUGUAAGGUCAUGUUUUGAGUAAGGUCAGAAAGCUUUUACAACUAUUUGAGUGUCCUUAAUCUGAGAUUCCACAGGUUUGGUGAGGAAAUUCUGUUUGUUAGCUGCUUUUUUUUUUUCCUAAGAGUGGGUGGUUGAGUGGCUUUCUAAACGGGG
rnacentral:lncRNA from 1 species